AUGGAGGGACUAUAGACGACACAAAAAGAAAAGUUAGAAUAUAAGGAGGCUGGCUGUUAAGAAGAAAUCUGACUCAACGAGGUUUGAAAAUCUAAUAUUUCCUCAUUAUUAGGUAAUCUUCUGAAACAGAUGGACCAAGAGUUGGUUGAAGAGUCCUAGUGAUCUAAAACAGUUAUGGUUUUGAGGGAUCCACAAGAUUUUUUUUAUAAAUGCAAGAGAAACUCAUUUUCCUAAAGGGAGUAAUUGGACAGAUCUUGGAAGGGGUUUUGAGAGAAUUAUAAACAAAGAAGGAAGACAUUAGAAUAAAAGUUAUUUGGGUAGUUGGACCCAAAGAAGUAUAAAAUUGGAUGGAGAGUUGUGAACAAGGAAAAGCUUUGAUGUUUUUUGGAUUUGGCAACAACUUGCCACCAUGUUUAUACGACAAGAUAAUGUUAGAGAUUGCAAAAUGAAAAAGGGUAGAGAAGAAACAUGGAGUGCGGUGGAUGAUGGAGUAAUUCAUCAAAAAAACUUUCAAGUAAGUGAAACUCUAAAAUAAAUAGUUUUUGGGUUAAUUGGUGCAAGAGAAAGGUCCUAUUGGUCUAAUAAGGUAGACUAGUAUGAGAUUGAACUUCAAUUUUUGAAAGAAUAGUUAUUGGCUUUCUUUGGAUGAAAUAAGUUUUGAAAUGUUAAGAUGGACAGAGAUAAGGCAUCCGUUUGGUUUUCGCAGUUGUGGCUUUCGCUUGGACAUGAAGUUUGUUAUAUUUGGAGAUUCAUUGGCACAAGGUUUUGAGUAUUAAAAGUUUUAAAGGAUUAGUGGAGAAGCGUAUAAGCCUAAUAGGUGUAUUUAAAGGAACCUAGAAAAAGAGGUAUGAAGGUUUUUAAUUAAAAGAAGUACUUGAAUGAAAGUUCUUUGGGUAAUUGGCGCUAAUUCAAAGUUCAAUUCUGUUGGUUAUAAGUUAGAUAACGGGCAAUCUUAUGGAAUUGCUGAGUUUAUUAGGUAUUGAAGAAGGCAAAGAGAUAAGUUUGUAUAAGGCCAUGGUUAUCCGUAAGGAGAUGGGAAGAUAAGUGUGAAUAAAGGAGUUUCAUACUAAAGUAUCAAAUUUUGGACUUCCAAGUUUUUGAUAGAAUUCUUGCCAUUUUUGUGAAGAAAGAUUAGCAAAUUCACUAAAGUGCUAAUAUAAUGGACAAACUAAGAUACUUUAUUUCAGUAGCUGACAAUUGACCGUGGAAAUUGAUCUAAGUCCAAACAUUAACAGUAUAGUAUAUAAUUAAAAAUGAAAUGGUCAAAUGUGAGAUUCGUUGGUAUAUGGUUUCUAGGGUUCUACAAGAUUGUCUGACAAAAUGCAAGAGAAACUCAUUUUCUGAAAAGGAGUAAUUGGACCGAUCAUGAAAAGAGUUUUCAGAUCAUUCUAAACAAAGAAAGGAGACAUUAGAAUAAAAGGUAUUUGAGUAAUUGGAACCAAAGAAGUAUAAAAUUGGAUGAAGAGUUUAAGAAGAUGGAAAAGCUUUGGUACUUUUUAGGAUUGGCAACUACUUGCCAUGAUGUUUUAUACGAGAAGAUAACAUUAGAGAUUGUGAAUUUAAAGAGGGGAGAAAAGACACAAAGAGUGUGGUGGAUGAUGGAGUAAUUCAUUGGAAGAGUUUCAUGUAAAUGAAACCUAAACAUAAAAUGGGUUUGGGUUUAUUGGUGCAAGAGAAAAGUUCCUAUCGGUCUAAUAAAGUAGAUUAGUAUGAGAUUGAAGUUCAACUUUUGAAUGAAGAGUUCUUGUCUUUUUUUGGACAAAAUAAGUGAUGAAAUGACGGACAAAGAUGAGGCAUCCGUUUAGUUUUUGCAAUUGUGGCUUUGGCUUGGACAUGAAGUUUGUUAUAUUUGGAGAUUCGCAUUGGCAUAGGUUAAAGUAUUAAAAGUUUUUUAAGGAUUAGUGGAGAAAGUUGUAAAGCCUAAUAGGUGUAUUUAAGGGAACCAAGAAAAGAGGCCUAAUAGGUUGCCAUCUUUUGGAGAAAGGAUUAUCAAAUUGGAUCAAGUGUCGAGGCCGUAAAGAGAAAGUGGAAAGGGGAAAUGCCAAUGUAAGAAAGUGGAAAAAGAAAAUAUCAAAAUUAAAGAUAGGAAAAAAACAUGAAAAGUGAGAAGUCUGUGAUGAUUAUUGAUUUAGCGUUUAGAAGAGUUCGUACCAAGAAGUUUGUAUUACCCAUCAUUACCCUAGAGCCGGACUAGGGUAUGAUGGGUACUAAAUACUUUUUUGUAGCAUUCGCUGCUAAAAACUAAGCCAAUAAUCAUCACCGCUUUUAACACAUUUCUUGUUUUUUCUUGUAUUUUAAUUUGUUAUUUUCUUUUUCUACUUUCUUACUUUGACUAAUGGUGAGAUUAGCCAAAUGGAUAAAAUUUUUAUUUAAGGGAUGAGGUGAGUUCUCUUUGCCAUUGUUUUGAGAAAUGAUUAUCAACUUGAAUUAGUGUUGAAAUAGUGCACUAAGAGUCAUAUUAGCCAAUUGGAUCAAGGUUUUAUUUAAGCUCUAUGGUAAUUUUUCGUUGAUAUGAAUAUAGCGAAAAGUCAUUUGGCUAAUGAAAUGAUAUUGAAAAAAGACAACAUGGAGGACUAUAGACGACACAAAAAGAAAAGUUAGAAUAUAAGAGUUUUGGAUUGAAGUGUGACGUUGAGAUUCAAGUUUUGGAUUAAAGAACUCUAGCCAAUUGUUUUGAGAAAGAAAUAUCAAAAUGGAUUUGUGCUGAGAUUAUGCAUUUAAAUUGUGAAUAGAUUAAGUUUUUGUUUAACGAAUUUGGUGAUUUCCAAUGGACAUGGUUGUUGGAAAAAAAAGUUGGCUAUACUAAAGUAAAUUGUAAAAAGAACAUGGAGGACUAUAAUCGACACAAAUAUAGAAGUGUGGAUUUAUUUAACAAAUUUGGUGAUUUCCAUGGAUAUGGUUAUUGGAAAAAGAAAAGUUUGCUGAACUAAUGUAAUUGGCAAAAAGAACGUGGAGGACCAGAAAUGGCACAAAUAGAGAAGUAAGGAUAUUUGAGUUUUGGAUUGUUAAGUGUUAUUCAAUUUUAACUUUUGGAAUGAAUAACCAUUGUUUCGAGAAAAGAUUAUCAGAAUGAAUUAAGAGUUAAAGAUAGUGCACUAAGAGGAAGAUUAGCCAAUUGGAUUAAGUUUUUAUUUAACGAAUUUGGUGAUUUGUUGUUGACAUGAUUAUUGGAACAAGAAAAGUUGGCUAUACUAAUGUAAUUGGUAUAAAGAACAUGAAGGACCAUAAAAGGCACAAAUAUAGAAGUAAGGAUAUUUGAUUUUUUGAUUGAUGUGUGACAUUCAACUUUUAACUUUUGGAAUGAAGAGCCAAUGUUUUGAAAACAGAUUACUUGUUUUGAAAACAGAUUACCAUAAUGGAUUUAGAGUUAAGAUAGUGCACUACGAGAAAGAUUAGCCAUUUGGAUUUAGGAUUUUGUUUAAGGAAUUUGGUGAUUUGCCAUGGAUAUGGUUAGUGGAAGAAGAAAUGUUGGCUAUACUAAUAUAAUUGGUAAAAAGAACAUGGAGGACUAUAAAGGAAACAAAUAAAGAAGUAAGGAUAUUUGAGUUUUGGAUUGAAGUGUGGCAUUUGGACUUUAACUUUUGGAAUGAAGAGCCAAUGCUUGGAGAAAGGAUUACGAUGAAUUAAGUGUUAAAAUAGUUCGAUAUUUGAGUUUUGGAUUGAAGUGUGGCAUUUGGACUUUUAACUUUUGGAAUGAAGAGCCAAUGCUUGGAGAAAGGAUUACGAUGAAUUAAGUGUUAAAAUAGUUCCUUAAUUGUAAGAUUAGUCAAUUGGAUUAUGAUAGAUCACCAAGUUGUGUUCGUAUUGUAUGGAUAUAAACUUCAACGAUUGCAGUAAGGAAUAGAUCAAUUUCAGAAUGAAAAGUACGAAAAACCAAGAAGAGAAUUAAAAGAACUAUCCUCUCUGCUUUUGGGUUAAUUUGUGCAAGAGAAAGGUCCCAUUGGUGUAAUAAGGUGUCGGAUGAGAUUGAACUUAAAUUUUUGAAUGAAGAGUUAUUUGCUUUCUUUGGAUGAAAUAAGUUACGAAAUGUUAAGAUGGACAGAGAUAAGGUAUCCAUUUGGUUUUCGGAGUAGUGGCUUUCGCUUGGACAUGAAGUUUGUUAUAUUUGUGGAGAUUCAUUGGCACAAGGUUUUGGAGUAUUAAAAGUUUUGAAGGAUUGGUGGAGAAGCGUAUAAGCCUAAUAGGUGUAUCUAAUGGAACCAAAAAAAGAAGUAUGGAGGUUUUUAAUUAAAGGAAGUACUUGAAUGAAAGAUCUUUGGGUAAUUAACGCUAAUGCUGGUUCGAUUCUGUUUAUUAUAAGCUGAUUACGGGCAAUCUUAUGGAAUUGCUUAGUUUGUUAGGUAUUGAAGAAGGCAGGAAGAUAAGUUUGUAUAAGGCCAUGAUUAUGUAAGGAGAUGGGAAGAUAAGUUUGAAUAAAGGAAUUUUAUACUAAAGUAUAAAAAGAACAUGGAGGACUAUAAAUGGGACAAAUAGAGAAGUAAGGAUAUUUGAGUUUUGCAUUUAAGUGUGGCAUUGGACUUCAACUUUUGGAAUGAAGAGCCAAUGUUCAGAGAAAAGAUUAUCAAAAUGGAUUAAGAGUUAAGAUAGUGCACUAAGAGAAAUAUUAGCCAAUUGAAUUAAGUUUUAAUUAAACGAAUUUGGUGAUUUGCCAUGUACAUGGUUAUUGGAAAAAGAAAACUGGGCCAUACUAUUGCAAUAUUGGUAAAAAGAACAUAGAAGAUCAUAAAUGACACAAAUAGAGAAGUAAGGACAUUUGAUUUUUGGAUUGAAGUGUGACAUUGGCUUUUAACUUUUGGAAUGAAGAGUCAAUGUUUAGAGAAAAGAUUAUCAUAAUGGAUUAAGAGUUAAGAUAGUGCACUAAGAGAAAGACUAGCCAAUUGGAUUUUUAGUUUUUAUUUAACAAAUUUGGUGAUUUCCCAUGGACGUGGUUAUUGGAAAAAGAAAAGUUGGCUAUACUAAUGUAAUUGGUAAAAAUAAAUGGAGGACUAUAAAUGGCACAAAUAGAGAAGUCAAGAUAUUUGAGUUUUGAAUUGAAGUGUGACAUUCGACUUGAACAUUUUCAGUGGUUUUGUUAGAAGUUUAAUGACUGAAUAGCUUUGCUUCGUAGUCGUAGGAAAUUGUUUGUUUAUGAUAAACUACCUAGGAUUAUUUUAUACAUAUACAGAACUGUUUUAAAUAUUGCUUCAUGGGAAUAUCUUUGUUUUGUUUUUAUGUGUUCUUUGUCGAUAUAUAUAGUGUUUUUGUUUCAAAGAGUAGGUGAGUCAAAUAGUAGGACUGAUUGUAAAGACGGGUUUGAGAGAAGUUGAUGAGCAAGGAAUGAAAUUAUAACAUCCUUUAUUGUCUUAGUGGUUAGGAAUGGAGCAUUGAACUCUAAUUUUAAAAUAAAUAAUAAUAUAUAUGUUUUGAGUAUUAAAAGUUUUUGAAGGAUUGGUGAAGAAACUUAUAAGCCUAAUAGGUGUUUUUAAAGGAACCAAGAAAAGAGGUCUGAAGGUUUUUAAUUAAAGGGAGUACUUGAAUAAAAAUUCUUUCGGGUAAUUGGUGCAAGUGCAAAGUUAGAUUCUGUUGGUUAUAAGCUAGAUAAGGGGCAAUCUUAUGGAAUUGCUGAGUUUGUUAGGUAUUAAAGGAGACCCAAAGAUAAGUUGAAUAAGAGAAUGAUUAUCUUCAAGUAGAUAGGAAGAUAAGUUUGAAUAAGGGAAUUUCAAAUUAAAGUACGAUAUUGGACUUCAAGUUUUUGAUAGAUUUCUUGUCAUUCUUUGGAAGAAAGAUUAGCAAACUCAUUGAAGUGCUAAUGAAAUGGACAAACUAAGCUACUUUCUUUGAGUAGCUGACAAUUGGCUAUGGAGAUUGAUUUGAGACCUGACGAUAACAUUAGAGUGUGCCAUUAAGAAUGAAAAAGUCACAUGGAGAUUCAUUGGUAUAUGGUAUUUAUGGUUCAACAAUAUUCUUGGAUAAGUGCAAGAGAAACUCAUUCUCCUAAAAGGAGUAAUUGGACAUAUGAUGGAAAGAGGUUUGAGACAGUUCUAAACAAAGAAAGGAGGCAUUAGAAGAAAAGGUAUUUGGGUAAUUGGAAGCGAAGAAAAGUUGCAUCGUAUUUGGUCACUUGUUGAGUUGAAGUGUUAUGUAUGUAAUGUGGGAGGAAGAUAAGUACAAUUAGAGAAUUAUGGAUUAGUAUAUGGUAUGAUAUUGGACUCCUAUUUUUUAUGGAAGCGUUCUAUUCGAUGAAACAUUAAACAAUUGGAUGAAGAGUUGAGAAAAUGGACAAAUUAAGGUACUUUCUUAUAAUUGGCUACAAUUUUCACGAAAAAUGAUGUUAGAAUUCAAGAUUAUAUGCUAAAGGAAAAGAGAUACGGAAGUAUAUGGUGGAUCAAGAGUAUUUAUUUAAAUCAAUAUCAAAACUGAAAAUUGAAGUAUUAUUUGAAGAAUUUGUUUGGAAUAAAAUGGACUUGAGCAUUCCAUUUGGUUUUCAAAUAUGAGGGUACAAAUUAAUAUUUAUUCAGGAGUUUUUUGGAAUUGAAGAUACAUUUUUAUGAUUUUGGAUUUUAAAUGUUAAGAAACUCACAAGUCUAAAAAAGAAUAGUUGAAGAGAAAAGUUUGAUUGUACACAAUAUUAACAGAAAAGGUUUUGGAUUUGUUGGGUUGAAUCGUUAUGUUACAUAAGGAAAAUAAGUUAUAAUAAAAGAAUUUUCUAUUAUUCAACUAUAUGAUUGUACUUCCACGUUUUGGCGUUUGGUGAGGUCUAGACAUUCUUUGGAUAAAGGAGUAUAAAAUUGGAUGGAGAGUUCACAACUUGGAGAAACAUGAUACUUUUAAGAUUUGCCAAAUUGCCGUGAUAUCUUAUAGGAGAAAUUAUGAAUUUAAAGAGGGGAAAAGCACAUGGAGUGUGGUGGAUCAUGGAGUAAUUCAUUGAAAAGAUUUUUAGUAAAUGAAACUCUAAAAUAACAAGUGCUUGGGUUAAUUGGUGCAGGAGUAAAGUUUCUUUUGGUCUAAUAAGGUUAAUAUGAGAUUGAAGUUCGACUUUUGAAUGAAGUGUUCUUGUCCUUCUUUGGAUGAAAUAAGUAAUGAAAUGUUAAGAUGGACAGAGAUGGGGCACCUAUUUGAUUUUCUUCACAGUUCUGGCUUUGGCUUGGACAUGAAGUUGGUUAUAUUUGGACAUUUUCAUUGGUAGAAGGUAGAGUAUUAAAAGUUUUUGAAGGAUUAGUGGAGAAACUUGUAAGCCUAAUAUGUGUAUUUAAAGGAACCAAGAAAAGAGGCCUAAUAGGUUGCCAUCUUUUGAAGAAAGGAUUAUCAAAUUGGAUCAAGUGUUGAAGCAGUAGAGAAAGUGGAAAGGAGGAAAGAGAAAGUGGAAAGGAGGAAAGAGAAAGUGGAAAGGGGGAAAUAUUGAAGUAAGAAAGUAGAAGAAGAAAAUACCAAAAUUGAAGAUAGGAAAAAAACAUGAAAAGUGAGAAGGCUGUGAUGAUUAUUGAUUUAGCUUUUAGAAGAGUUCGUACCAAAAAGUUUGUAUUACCCAUCAUUACCCUAGAGCCGGACUAGGGUAUGAUGGGAAAUAAAUACUUUUUGUAGCAUUCGCUCCUAAAAACUAAGCCAAUAAUCAUCACCGCUUUUAUCAAAUUUCUUGUUUUUUUCUUGUAUUUUAAUUUGGUAUUUUCUUUUUCUACUUUCUUACUUUGACUAACGGUGAGAUUAGCCUAAUGGAUUAAAUUUUUAUUUAAGGGAUGGGGUGAGUGCUCAUAUCUCUUUGCCAUUGUUUUGAGAAAUGAUUAUCAACUUGAAUUAGUGUUGAAAUAGUGCACUAAGAGUCAGAUUAGCCAAUUGGAUCAAGGUUUUAUUUAUAAGCUCUAUGGUGAUUUUUCGUUGAUAUGAAUAUAGCGAAAAGUCAUUUGGCUAAUGAAAUGAUAUUGAAAAAAGACAACAUGGAGGGACUAUAGACGACACAAAAAGAAAAGUUAGAAUAUAAGGAGGCUGGCUGUUAAGAAGAAAUCUGACUCAACGAGGUUUGAAAAUCUAAUAUUUCCUCAUUAUUAGGUAAUCUUCUGAAACAGAUGGACCAAGAGUUGGUUGAAGAGUCCUAGUGAUCUAAAACAGUUAUGGUUUUGAGGGAUCCACAAGAUUUUUUUUAUAAAUGCAAGAGAAACUCAUUUUCCUAAAGGGAGUAAUUGGACAGAUCUUGGAAGGGGUUUUGAGAGAAUUAUAAACAAAGAAGGAAGACAUUAGAAUAAAAGUUAUUUGGGUAGUUGGACCCAAAGAAGUAUAAAAUUGGAUGGAGAGUUGUGAACAAGGAAAAGCUUUGAUGUUUUUUGGAUUUGGCAACAACUUGCCACCAUGUUUAUACGACAAGAUAAUGUUAGAGAUUGCAAAA